rnacentral:rRNA from 1 species
AUUGAACGCUGGCGGCGUGCCUAACACAUGCAAGUCGAGCGGUAACAGGUGUAGCAAUACAUGCUGACGAGCGGCGGACGGGUGAGUAACGCUUGGGAAUCUGCCUGUUAGUGGGGGACGAACCCGGGAAACGUCGGGCUAAUACCGCAUACGCACUACGGUGGAAAGCCGGGACCGCAAGGCCUGGCGCUAACAGAUGAGCCCAAGUCGGAUUA